UUAAGUUCAGCGGGUAGUCCUACCUGAUUUGAGGUCAAGGGUGUCAAAGGGGCGGAAAGACCGUGACAGGUCUCGUCCGGUUCGAAGCCGGGCCACGCUGAGUGCGACCGCGGGGGCGUAGAUGGACUAUCAACGCCGUGAGGCCGACUGCGACUGGGCCCUGCUGAUGCCUUUGAGGAGAGCGGAUCGCAAGGGCUAGC
rnacentral:misc_RNA from 1 species